UAAUGAGUGUAGGCGUCUCUU
rnacentral:piRNA from 1 species